GUACACUCCUACGGGAGGCAGCAGUGGGGAAUUUUGAACAAUGGGCGAAAGCCUGAUCCAGCCAUGCCGCGUGCAGGAUGAAGGCCUUCGGGUUGUAAACUGCUUUUGUACGGAACGAAACGGCCUUUUCUAAUAAAGAGGGCUAAUGACGGUACCGUAAGAAUAAGCACCGGCUAACUACGUGCCAGCAGCCGCGGUAAUACGUAGGGUGCAAGCGUUAAUCGGAAUUACUGGGCGUAAAGCGUGCGCAGGCGGUUAUGUAAGACAGUUGUGAAAUCCCCGGGCUCAACCUGGGAACUGCAUCUGUGACUGCAUAGCUAGAGUACGGUAGAGGGGGAUGGAAUUCCGCGUGUAGCAGUGAAAUGCGUAGAUAUGCGGAGGAACACCGAUGGCGAAGGCAAUCCCCUGGACCUGUACUGACGCUCAUGCACGAAAGCGUGGGGAGCAAACAGGAUUAGAAACCCGGGUAGUCCCAUGA
rnacentral:rRNA from 1 species